GAUGAACGCUGGCGGCGUGCCUAAUACAUGCAAGUCGAGCGAACGGACGAGAAGCUUGCUUCUCUGAUGUUAGCGGCGGACGGGUGAGUCACACGUGGAUAACCUACCUAUAAGACUGGGAUAACUUCGGGAAACCGGAGCUAAUACCGGAUAAUAUUUUGAACCGCAUGGUUCAUAAGUGAAAGACGGUCUUGCUGUCACUUAUAGAUGGAUCCGCGCUGCAUUAGCUAGUUGGUAAGGUAACGGCUUACCAAGGCAACGAUGCAUAGCCGACCUGAGAGGGUGAUCGGCCACACUGGAACUGAGACACGGUCCAGACUCCUGCGGGAGGCAGCAGUAGGGUAUCUUCCGCAGUGGGCGAAAGCCUUACGGAGCGGCGCCGCGUGAGUGAUGAAGGUCUUCGGAGCGUAAAGCUCUGUUAUUAGGGAAGAACAUAUGUGUAAGUAAAUGUGCACAUCGUGACGGUACCGAGUAAGAAAGCAACGGCUAACUACGUG
rnacentral:rRNA from 1 species